GAAAUACUCCCUCCGUCCCAAAAUUCGUGUCUCAGAUUUGUCUAAAUACGGAUGUAUCAAGUCACCUUUUGGUAUUAGAUACAUCCUUAUCUAGACUAAUCUAAGACCAGAAUUUUGGGACGGAGGGAGUAUAAG
rfam:Triticum aestivum genome assembly, contig: Triticum_aestivum_CS42_TGACv1_scaffold_177766_2DS